rnacentral:tRNA from 1 species
GGGCGUAUAGCUCAGCGGGAGAGCACUCGCCUCACACGCGAGGGGUCGCUGGUUCGAACCCAGCUACGCCCA